rnacentral:rRNA from 1 species
UACGUAGGGGGCUAGCGUUGUCCGGAAUCAUUGGGCGUAAAGAGCGUGUAGGCGGCCCGGUAAGUCCGCUGUGAAAGUCGGGGCUCAACCCUCGAAUGCCGGUGGAUACUGUCGGGCUAGAGUGCGGAAGAGGAGAGUGGAAUUCCUGGUGUAGCGGUGAAAUGCGCAGAUAUCAGGAAGAACACCCGUGGCGAAGGCGGCUCUCUGGGACGGUACUGACGCUGAGACGCGAAAGCGUGGGGAGCGAACAGG